rnacentral:rRNA from 1 species
UCUGGUGCCAGCAGCCGCGGUAAUUCCAGCUCCAAUAGCGUAUAUUAAAGUUGUUGCAGUUAAAAAGCUCGUAGUUGAAUUUCGGGGUUCGUCCGUUGGUCCGGCUUCCAAGUCCGUACUGGCGUGAAGAAUUUCUACCUUCUGGGGAACCAUCAUGCUUAUUAAUUUGGUGUGGUGGGAAACCAGGACUUUUACCUUGAAAAAAUUAGAGUG